AUCCAAGGCGAUUCCCUCUCCAAGGGGACAUCCAGUGCCCCCUCUCAGGAAAGUAGCAACUUGGAACAGAAUCUGGCAUGCCUAAGGUCUUUGAGGAACAGGGAUGCUUAUUUCCUCUGCCUUCCUUGGCUGCCUACAUGG
ensembl:snoRNA